GAGUUUGAUCAUGGCUCAGGAUGAACGCUGGCGGCGUGCCUAACACAUGCAAGUCGAACGGAUCCAUAUUGAAACCUAGUGAUGUAUGGAUUAGUGGCGGACGGGUGAGUAACGCGUGGAUAACCUGCCGUAUACAGGGGGAUAACACUUAGAAAUAGGUGCUAAUACCGCAUAAGCGCACGGUUCCGCAUGGAACAGUGUGAAAAACUCCGGUGGUAUACGAUGGAUCCGCGUCUGAUUAGCCAGUUGGCGGGGUAACGGCCCACCAAAGCGACGAUCAGUAGCCGGCCUGAGAGGGUGAACGGCCACAUUGGGACUGAGACACGGCCCAAACUCCUACGGGAGGCAGCAGUGGGGAAUAUUGCACAAUGGGGGAAACCCUGAUGCAGCGACGCCGCGUGAGUGAAGAAGUAUUUCGGUACGUAAAGCUCUAUCAGCAGGGAAGAAAAAAGUCCUUUGGACUUUGGACGGUACCUGACUAAGAAGCCCGGCUAACUACGUGCCAGCAGCCGCCGCUGU
rnacentral:rRNA from 1 species